ensembl:lncRNA
AUGUUUUGGUUACUGUGUUUUUUUUUUUUUUUGUCUUCAGCCAGUUGUGUUUCUGAGUUGCUAGCUUCUUUAUCUCUAAGUUUCGUGUAUAUGAGACAAAAAGAAAACCCAGGGACUUACUGCAGUGUUGUUCUUUGCAUUACAAGGUCCCUAGCAAAGCUGCCUUCCUCUCCCAAUCUUUCAAAAGUGACCACAAUUGUCUCAGAUGUAAUUUUGAGUUUUUUUUCUAGGAAAUCACUCAGGAGGCUGAGAGACUCCUAAAAAUUGGGUUCUAGAAAAACAAGACUGUUACCUCAAAGCUUUUUUCCUGUUGGUGAAGGCACUCUGAAAGUUGUUUAUUUAUUUGAGACAGAGUCUCACUCAGUUGCCCAGGCCGGAGUGUAGUGGUCCAGUUGUGGCUCACUGCAGCCUUGAACUUGUGGGCUCAAAUAAUCCUCUCACCUCAGCCUACUGAGCAGCUGGGACCACAGGAAUUCAUCACCAUGUGGCUAAUAAUUUUCUUUCUUUCUUUUCUUUUUUUGUAGAGAAGAAGUCUCAUUAUGUUGUUCAGGCUGAUCUCAAACUCCUGGGCCCAAGUGAUCUAUUCAACUUGGCCUCCCAAAGUGCUAGGAUUAUAGGUAUAAGCUACCAUGCCUGGCCUCUGUAGGAUAUUUAUAAACUUUUUAUCCAUAAGGUUUAAGACAAUAAGUGGAUGGCAUAUCAGCUAUUACAAUAUUCUGGAUCCAGUUUUUUAGAAUAAGCAAAGGUGACGGUGUGGGUAGCACAUACUUGUAAUCCCAGGAGUUUGAGAUGCUAAUGUAGGUGGGAUCACUUGUGGCCAGGAGUUCGAGACCAUGCCUGGUCAGCAUAGUAAAACCCUGUUUCUACUACAAAUACAAAAUAAUGUAAUCCCAGCUACUUGGGAGUCUGAGACAUGAGAUUCACCUGCACUCUGGAGACAGAGGUUACAGUGAGCUGAGAUCGUGCCACUACCUAGCCUGGGCAACAGGGUGAGACUCUGUCUCAAAACAAAAAAGCAAAAAACAAACAAAACCAACAGAAUUAGCCAAAGUGACAUGGGGAGGUAAAAAGGAUUUAGUGACUUCUUUAGACGCAUGGGAUGUUUCAUAUAAAGGAGAAUUUUGUGUGUCUUUCUCUUAUUCCCAAACACAAUAAAUUAAAGACUGUAACUUGUUGAAAAAGGAGGAAUGUUAUGAAUGAGGAACAGCAAGUGGGAAUUUCUACAGAUGAAAUACCGGAUGGAGAGUAAAAAGAAUUGGAAGAGAAUUUAAUGUUAGAAGUGAAUAGCAGAGUGUUAUGAAAACUUUUUUUCCCUUGAAUAAUAGACCUUUAGAGCCAAGAAGCAACCGAAGACAUUUUUUUCCUAAAAUUUUUAGGCUAUACAAGUGGAAAGCUGAGACACAAUUGACUCCCUGACUAAGUCUAUAGCUUUGAGGAGCUCAAAGGACUUAAAAUAUUAUCUAAUCAUUUCUCUGGAAUUUGAAUCCAUUUUUCAUUGAAUACUAGAAUUUGAGACUGGAAAGGACACUGGCUUCUUUUUGAUCUGAUGUCUACAGCAUUUCCCUGACCUCAUUCUUAAGAAAUGAACAAAUUGCUGCUUAGAUAUAGUCAAUUCUCAUUAUUUAGGAUAGUCAUGUUCUACAAAGUUGCCUUGCACACUGAAUUAGCGAAUAUUGAAUCAUUGCCUUUAGGGAAGUUGCAGAGUGAGCUUCCUUGAGCCUCUGGCCACAACACUUCCAUCAAUCAAUCAAUAUAUAACUCUUUUAUGUGUGUUUCUGUUUAAAGAUACCUUAUUUAAAAUAUAUUGUUGAUUUGUGACUAUCACAUUCAUGGCCAAAAGUACUUUAAUCCCUGUCUCAAUGAAGUUUAUUGGAUGUGUAUUUCUCCAUAAUACACAUCACAGUCUUCUUGUCUUUAAGAACACUAGACAGCACUUCACCAUUAUGAUUGGGGCCAUUUUAAGCAGUGAAAUCGCCAAGAAAAGGCACAAAAAUGCAGAAUAGUCUGGUAAAAGGGUCCUUGUUUACAAUAUGAAAGAUUAAGCAAGAAGACAGUGGUCUGGGCUGACUUCUUUAAACUCUGCUGGAAAUAUUCAUAGCAGAUGACCUGAUUUUUUUUUUUUUUACAGCUACAUGCAUGCAUGUUUGCAAAUGACCCUG